rnacentral:lncRNA from 1 species
UUUUUUUUUCCCUUCUUUCUUUCUUUCUUUCCUGCAGAGGAAAAUCCCGUGAGCACGUUUUUUUAGCCUGCAGAGGAGACAUCCUUCGUAUUGUAUCAAUUGUAUCCGUUUGUCUGCUGGAGAAUGAGCUGCACAAUAAAUCUGUCCUCGAGCACCAUCUGAUGGGGAAAGUCAUGUAUUGACUGAGGACAACAUUUCUUGCUUUUUCAAGGAAACCACAUCUUCAGGAGCGACUGGGAAACUUGCCAAAGCCACAUACAAAUAUUUUGUUUCCAGAUGGACUCUCUGCAGUAUAGACAUUUUAAUGCAUUUUUGAUGAAGAAAGUCCAGUUUUCAGUGGGAAAACACAGUUCCACUCUGAAUUAGGGUUUUCAGGAUUUCCCCUUCAGCUCCUGAGAGGCCUAUAAAUUAAAAUAGGAUAAGAAAGUAGGUAUAACAAGGCCUAGAGGAGAAAGAUGCCCAGUUACCUUUUUAGGCAGAUACUUGAAAAAAACCCAAAGAAUAAUUUGCUGAAAGAGCUAAAAUUUUAAGGGCUGUCCUACUUGUUCUAAAGUAUAAUGCAAAUUCCACUGAAACCAGUUCAACAAAAGAAAACCUUGCUUCAUAACAAUUUAAAAAUUAGAGAAUAUCCUUCUGUACUAAAGCCACAUAGAAAUCACAGGAAAAAACAAAGUUAAAUUUUUUGCCAAAAUAACAUGCCUGCUGUUAUGAAGGGUAUCUUGGGCUCUCUGGAAGCAAACACACUGCACCCUGCACCAACUUUUUCAAGAUCUGCCAAGUCUACCAAUUCCAGACAGCAGCUGCAGCUCCAAGAAAUGCUUUAGCUGGUUGCCAUUUCCAAAACUGUCCAAGUUCUGUCAACAUCCCCCAGCCCCUGAAGAAAAGAUGAAAGAUUUUUAAAUUGGAUGCUGCAAUGCUUUUUGUACCACAAGAGCUCUGGUUCAGUAAAAAUAUUCUUGUUAAUGUGCAUAAAUAUAGCACCCUAAUUGCCACAGGUUUUGUUUAAAAAAGUCAUUUUUUGCCACAAAAAUCUGCCUUUUUCCAAAAAUAAAAAUAAAUUUUAAAUACUUCAUUUUUCCUCUCUGAGACCUCCUAUUUAUUAGAUGUUUGACAGAAUGGAAGACUGGUUCUUACUGUGUAGCACAUCUCAAAAAAUAGUUCCUUGGUGCUGAGAUUUAAAAUUAUUAAAAAUUUGAAUUAAUUUCUCUUUGUAAGUUAAACAGGAAGUUUUCAAGACUUCCCUUUAAAAUAAGCUGUAUAUUCUUUCAUUUCUAAAAGCAGUCUGACCUCCAUUCACAAUCAUUUAAUUCUCAAAGUUCAGGCUCCAGUACGCUCUUACAAGAUUCAUGAUCAGCUCUUUAUGAAUUAGUGUUCAAGAUUAUAGCAAUAACAGCACAGGCAAGUCUUGGAUUGUCAAAUGCCAAAGUACCAGGCUUUAUAGCCUGGAUCAUUUGCCCAAGAGUAUCCUGCAAUACCCAUAACCAGAUUGGCACUGGCAGCACCCACAGAGGUUCCCAGCAGCAAAAAUGUAAUGGCACUACAUGGAACCUGAAGUAAUGAGCAAGCCAGGUCAUAAACAGUGCUACUCCUAUUUUGUUGCUUCAUUAUCUGCUCAAUAAUCAACUUGUUCUCAGAAGAUGAGAAUGAUACUGACCUCUGUGAUGGUGCUGCAAUGAGUAAAUUCAGAAGAAAGAAAAUUCCAAAAAAUGGAAGACUGCAGAAGUGGUGUACUGGGUUUUUAUGGCAAGGUUUUGGUAGCGGGGUGAUAUAGUGGUGGCUUCUCUGAGAGGCUGCCAAAAGCUUUCCCUUUGUCUACUGAGCCCAUGCCAGCUGGCUCCAAGGCAGACCCACCACUGGCCAAGGCCAAGGCAAUGAAUGUCUAAUAACAUAUUAAAAAAGAAAAAAAGAUGUUAUUUUGUAGAAGCAGUUGUGGCCAGAGAAGAGAGGAGUGACAGAAACAACCGAGGGGAAGAAGUGCUCCAGGCUCUGGAGCAGAGGUUCCCCUGCAGCCUAUGCUGAAGAACACGGUAAGGCACCUGUGCCCCUGCAGCUCAUGGAGGACCACAGGGAGCAGAUACCACCUGCAGCCUAGGAAGGACACCCAUGUCACAGCAGGUGGAUACCCAAAAGAGGCUGUGACCUCUUGGGAAGCCCACAGGGGAGCAGGCUUCUGGCAGGACCUGUGGAUCCAUGGAGAGAAGAGCCCACAGCAGAGCAGGUUUGCUAGCAGGACUUGUGCCAGCAAACUUGGGGGACUUGCACUGGAGCAGAGCGUUCCUGAAGGACUGCACCCUGUGGUAAAGGCACCCACGCUGGAGUGGUUAGUGAAGAACUUUAGCCUGUGGGAAGGACUCACAUUGUAGAAGUCUGUGGAGGACUAUCUCCUGUGGGAGGGACACCAUGCUGGAGCAGGGAAAGGACUCUUCUCUGAGCAGCAUCAGAAGCAAUGUGUGAUGAACUGACCAUCUCACCACUCCUUGUCUCCCUGUGCUGCAGCAGGGGAGGAAGUAGAGUAGAGAUUAGGAAGGAGGGAGGAGUGGCAGGAAGGUGUUUUUAUUAUUUAUUUUACUUCUCAUUAUCCUGCUCUGAUUUUGAUUGGUAAUAAAUUAAAUUAUAUCUCCCCAAAUUGAGUCUAAUUUUCUCAUGACAGUAAUCAGUGAGUUAGCUCUCCCUGACCUUAACUCACAAGUCUUUUGUUAUAUUUUCUCUCCUCUUCCCUGUCCCGUUCCAGUUCCAGAGGGGAGUGGCUUUGGUGGGUACCUGGUGUCCAGCCAGGGUCAACCCCCACCACAACUGAUAUGUUUAAAAAGGAUCACUUUUAAGGAUCUCUGAAGUACACAGCCUACCCCAACAGGGAAAAAAAAAAAUCUUACCAUUGCUUCGUUAUUUAAAGGCAACAAAAUCAGUAUGUAUUUUGGGGAAGGGCAAAG